rnacentral:misc_RNA from 1 species
GGUUUUUCCAUUAUCAAGAUGUGGACUGUUUUUCUAACAAAGUUUGGUUUUUCUAGUGUCCCCUUCACUAGACAAGAGAAUACUGUUAUCCAAACUUGUAUUGUUGCUUGCUAUGGCCUUGCUACUAGUGGUGGAUUUGGCACAUAUUUGCUUGCCAUGGAUGAGAGAAUAUAUCAACUUAUAGGUGUUGAUUACUCUGGCAAUCAGCCAGAGGAUGUUAGGAAUCCAGGCCUGGGAUGGAUGAUCGGUUUCUUGUUUGUUGUAAGUUUUCUUGGGAUUUUUAGUCUUGUUGCG